GAAACGUAGGGCACUGCUUAUAGUACAGCCUCACAGCGGCGACGAAAACGCAGGGGCCGGAGUAAGAGAAGUCCAGCUGAAAGUCCGACGACACCUCUCCGACGUCUAUCCCCUGCACGCUAUGAAGCCUAUAGCCUACUUCUUGGCUGUAUCAUGACGUUAGUCCACGCUAUAUGUGACUGCAUGACCCAAAGAAACCUGACUAGUCACUCUUGGAAUGCCACUCCUCUUUGUUGUCAGAAAUAGGUUAAUGGGUUGGAAGUCCUACAUAUCAACAUCACAGCAGUCACACUUGCACCACCAGCACCAUGGUCUUCAUCACCAUUACAUCACCACACCUCUGGACCUUUCUUGAAAAUGCCAACCUCUCUUACUUCUGUCUUUCUACCAUGCAAUCACAAAGACCCAGUCAUCUCUCAGUCACCAUCAUCCCCUUCAGAAAACCACAUGACAGCAAUAUGUUGCAAUCAGAGGAUACAACAGGAGCAUCGACAAAGAGGAAAAUGUGUUAAAAUAGUUUUGCAACACUUAUUUAGCCUAUGUAUGUUGAUCUAUUAGUUAUCAUCAUAAAAACAGAAAAAAAACACCAACGUGCUAAUAAAGAAAAACAACCCAUUAAUCACUCAAUAAUAAAUAGACUGAGAUAUAAAUGUACUAUAUUCUCUUAGGAAAGGGUGCAUCAUUGCAUUCAUCUAACAAACAUGUAGGUGUUUGCAAUGUUCAUUAGUAUUAGUAUAGUAUAGUAAUACAACUUCUAUGACAGUGUUAGUUAUUAAAGAAAUGUUGGAUCAUUAGAUGUUGGGUAUAAAGCUAAAAUUGGUCACCCAUUUCUUUAUAGACUGUCACAUCCCAGAGAGGAGUCUGUCCACUUCUGCUUUCUGAGACGAGUUCCUUAGUCCACUGUGGUGGAACUGGCAAAAGAUGCUGACAACAUAUAGUGGUAAAGUAGAGUGUUGUUGCCAUGGGAAAGCAGCAGCUGUUUCCUGUGUGAUUAAUUAACAUGGUUCAACAAAAUGACUAUGAAUCUAUUCAUAGUUUUCUGACGUCUUCAGUCUCACUUCUUGUACUUGAGUUCCUAUUUAUCCUCUCUUAGCCUAUAAUACAUUUCAUAAUAAUUUCAGCUUGAUAUUUUCAGAAUGUUAUAUAACACCUUGGCAUGAAGGCAAAUGUCUGUUUCUUUUUCAUCUCAUCUCCACCUAGUGUAAACAGGAAAUAAACAUGAGAGAGCAACCCACUAUCAAAAUCUAAAUAGCAUUCUGGUGACAAAAAAACCUGCUGGGAAUGUUUUUGUCAGUGAGGUCAUGCUUGGGGCGGAAUAGUCCAGAUGAGCAUCCACCACAAACCAACAAAAAUGUCAGGGCUGUCAGGAAUGAAUAAGAGUAUGGGAACCUUUCCUGCUUUACAUUUCCAGAGCAUUGCACUGAUUCAUAAGCAGAGUUCAGUGUUGCAGGCAACAUCUUUGUCAGAUGCAACACUCAGGGU